CUAGCAUCAGUUCAUAAGCUUAUAUAUUGAGAAUUCGGCUUCAAACCCUCUCACAGUUACUUGAGAAACCCGCAAGAUGAAUUACAAAGCUGUAUUAUUAGUGUGUUGAAUAAUAUUUAAGCUGUCGUGCUGUGAACAUGUGACUAACCCCAGUGGCGUGCAAGUGUGGAUGCAAAAAGAACAAGUUACAGAAAUGAACAGAGAUGGUCUAGAAGUACUCCAUGCUACUAAAGUCAGACCACGUCAUGGCUAUGGUGCGGUAGCAUUCAGCACCAACUCGGUAGCCGCUGGGGCAUACUGCCCAGAGGGUAUUAGAGUAGGAGCUAGGUGUGUGCAACCACAUUAAUCCAAUUCCACGUAAAACAGUAUCUUACUUUAUAAGGCAAUUUUUUCCUCGUACGUACGUAUAUUUGGGAUUUGUAUAAGAUUUUUAAUGGGAAUAAGAUAAUAUGAAGAAUCAAAUCUGUGUUCAAAAUAAGAUCUUUGUUUGAGUUGAAAGACGCUUCAUUCAGACUUUAUUUAUCAUCAUAAUUCAUGGUUUAUUUUAUCCAAAACUCGAAUACCUUGUGUCUAUGUGUGAGUCAUAGACCGGUAUCGGUUCUUAAGCUACUUUAUAUAUUAUUCCUCUAGCACAAAUAUCAUAGUUCUUUGGGAAACUCGCAAGAUGAAUUACAAAGGCAUAUUAUUAGUGUGUUGUAUAAUAUUUGAGCUGUCGUGCUGUCGAUAUGUGACUUACCCCAGUGGCGUGCAAGUGUGGGUGCAGAAAGUCAAGGUUAUAGAAGUGAACGAACACGGCCAAGAGGUACUUUCUCCCAGUUAUGGAGAUUUCGAUAUCCCAGAUUUUGAUGUAAGAACUUCCGCGUUGCCAUGGAACCAGCCGAAAGUUGUAGUUUGGGUGGAGAAAGUUGAAGGGUACGAGUUGUAUGAAAAGCCGCAAGUAUACCACUCAUCAGUGGAUGCGAGGUACUGUCCAGGGGGAGUGAGAGUGGGUGAAAAGUGCGUCAAAAAAACCUAAACCAAUUUUGUGUAAAGCUCUUUGUUUUUGUUUUCUAAGACCAUUGCAUAAAAACCGGAAAUUUA
rnacentral:lncRNA from 1 species